rnacentral:rRNA from 1 species
UACGGGGGGAGCAAGCGUUGUUCGGAUUUACUGGGCGUAAAGGGCGCGUAGGCGGCCAGCACAAGUCAGUUGUGAAAUCUCCGAGCUUAACUCGGAAAGGUCAACUGAUACUGUGCGGCUAGAGUGCGGAAGGGGCAACUGGAAUUCUUGGUGUAGCGGUGAAAUGCGUAGAUAUCAAGAGGAACACCGGUGGCGAAGGCGACUUCUUGGCCUGUUCUUGACGCUGAGGCGCGAAAGCUGGGGGAGCAAACGGG